CUAAAGCCCCUCGCUUACACCGAGGCAAUGUCUGUUCAACCCAGAUCAUCUUGA
rnacentral:tRNA from 1 species